UGGACGACUCUCGGCAACGGAUAUCUCGGCUCUUGCAUCGAUGAAGAACGUAGCGAAAUGCGAUACCUGGUGUGAAUUGCAGAAUCCCGUGAACCAUCGAGUCUUUGAACGCAAGUUGCGCCCGAGGCCAUCCGGCUAAGGGCACGCCUGCCUGGGCGUCACGC
rnacentral:rRNA from 1 species